CCCUUAGAUGUUCUGGGCCGCACGCGCGCUACACUGAUGCAUUCAACGAGUCUAAAACCUGCUCUGAUAGGGGUGGGUAAUCUUUUGAAUGUGCAUCGUGAUUAGGAUAGAUGAUUGCAAUUUUUCAUCUUCAACGAGGAAUGCCUAGUAAACGCAAGUCAUCAGCUUGCAUUGAUUACGUCCCUGCCCUUUGUACACACCGCCCGUCGCUCCUACCGAUUGAAUGAUCCGAUGAAUAUCAUGGAUUGAGGAUGCAAGCAGGUUCGCCUGUCUUCAUCUUCGAGAAGUGAAGUAAAUCUUAUCAUUUAGAGGAAGGAGAAGUCGUAACA
rnacentral:rRNA from 1 species